rnacentral:rRNA from 1 species
AGAGUUUGAUCCUGGCUCAGAUUGAACGCUGGCGGCAGGCCUAACACAUGCAAGUCGAGCGGUAGAGAGAAGCUUGCUUCUCUUGAGAGCGGCGGACGGGUGAGUAAUGCCUAGGAAUCUGCCUGGUAGUGGGGGAUAACGUUCGGAAACGGACGCUAAUACCGCAUACGUCCUACGGGAGAAAGCAGGGGACCUUCGGGCCUUGCGCUAUCAGAUGAGCCUAGGUCGGAUUAGCUAGUUGGUGAGGUAAUGGCUCACCAAGGCGACGAUCCGUAACUGGUCUGAGAGGAUGAUCAGUCACACUGGAACUGAGACACGGUCCAGACUCCUACGGGAGGCAGCAGUGGGGAAUAUUGGACAAUGGGCGAAAGCCUGAUCCAGCCAUGCCGCGUGUGUGAAGAAGGUCUUCGGAUUGUAAAGCACUUUAAGUUGGGAGGAAGGGCAGUUACCUAAUACGUGAUUGUUUUGACGUUACCGACAGAAUAAGCACCGGCUAACUCUGUGCCAGCAGCCGCGGUAAUACAGAGGGUGCAAGCGUUAAUCGGAAUUACUGGGCGUAAAGCGCGCGUAGGUGGUUUGUUAAGUUGGAUGUGAAAUCCCCGGGCUCAACCUGGGAACUGCAUUCAAAACUGACUGACUAGAGUAUGGUAGAGGGUGGUGGAAUUUCCUGUGUAGCGGUGAAAUGCGUAGAUAUAGGAAGGAACACCAGUGGCGAAGGCGACCACCUGGACUGAUACUGACACUGAGGUGCGAAAGCGUGGGGAGCAAACAGGAUUAGAUACCCUGGUAGUCCACGCCGUAAACGAUGUCAACUAGCCGUUGGGAGCCUUGAGCUCUUAGUGGCGCAGCUAACGCAUUAAGUUGACCGCCUGGGGAGUACGGCCGCAA